rnacentral:rRNA from 1 species
UACAUGGGGGUGCAAACGUUGCUCGGAAUUAUUGGGCGUAAAGCGCGCGUAGGCGGUUACUUAAGUCGGAUGUGAAAGCCCUCGGCUUAACUGAGGAAGUGCACCCGAAACUGAGUAGCUAGAGUACGAAAGAGGGUCGCGGAAUUCCCGGUGUAGAGGUGAAAUUCGUAGAUAUCGGGAGGAACACCGGUGGCGAAGGCGGCGACCUGGGUCGAGACUGACGCUGAGGCGCGAAAGCGUGGGGAGCGAACAGG